UGGGGAAUAUUGCACAAUGGGCGAAAGCCUGAUGCAGCAACGCCGCGUGAGUGAUGAAGGCCUUCGGGUUGUAAAGCUCUGUCUUUUGGGACGAUAAUGACGGUACCAAAGGAGGAAGCCACGGCUAACUACGUGCCAGCAGCCGCGGUAAUACGUAGGUGGCAAGCGUUGUCCGGAUUUACUGGGCGUAAAGGAUGCGUAGGCGGAUUUUUAAGUGAGAUGUGAAAUACCCGGGCUUAACUUGGGUGCUGCAUUUCAAACUGGGAAUCUAGAGUGCGGGAGAGGAGAAUGGAAUUCCUAGUGUAGCGGUGAAAAUGCGUAGAGAUUAGGAAGAACACCAGUGGCGAAGGCGAUUCUCUGGACCGUAACUGACGCUGAGGCAUGAAAGCGUGGGUAGCAAAACAGGAUUAGAUACCCUGGUAGUCCACGCCGUAAAACGAUGAGUACUAGGUGUAGGAGGUAUCGACCCCUUCUGUGCCGCAGUUUAACACAAUCAAGUACUCCGCCUGGGAAGUACGAUCGCAAGAUUAAAAACUCAAAAGGAAUUGAC
rnacentral:rRNA from 1 species